CCUUACACACAGUGUCUUUUUGAUACAGAACUCUUGCUUUGGUUUGGCCUAGAGAUAGGUUGGGCCAGAGGUUUAACAAAACACAAUUUAAUUAUUUUUACAGUUAGUCAAAUUUUGAAUUAAUCUUCAAAACUUUCAACAACGGAUCUCUUGGUUCUCGCAUCGAUGAAGAACGCAGCGAAAUGCGAUAAGUAAUAUGAAUUGCAGAUUUUCGUGAAUCAUCGAAUCUUUGAACGCACAUUGCGCCCUCUGGUAUUCCAGAGGGCAUGCCUGUUUGAGCGUCAUUUCUCUCUCAAACCCCCGGGUUUGGUAUUGAGUGAUACUCUUAGUCGGACUAGGCGUUUGCUUGAAAAGUAUUGGCAUGGGUAGUACUAGAUAGUGCUGUCGACCUCUCAAUGUAUUAGGUUUAUCCAACUCGUUGAAUGGUGUGGCGGGAUAUUUCUGGUAUUGUUGGCCCGGCCUUACAACAACCAAACAAGUUUGACCUCAAAUCAGGUAGGAAUACCCGCUGAACUUAAGCAUAUCAAUAAGCGGAAG
rnacentral:rRNA from 1 species